UACCAGCACCCCGAGUGGUCGGGACGAUUAUUGGGCCUAAAGCAUCCGUAGCCGGUUUUACAAGUCCACCGUUAAAUCCAGCUGCUUAACAGAUGGGCUGCGGAGGAUACUAUAAGACUAGGAGGCAGGAGAGGCAAGCGGUACUCAGUGGGUAGGGGUAAAAUCCGUUGAUCCAUUGAAGACCACCAGUGGCGAAGGCGGCUUGCCAGAAUGCGCUCGACGGUGAGGGAUGAAAGCUGGGGGAGCAAACAGG
rnacentral:rRNA from 1 species